UUCGAGCGCCUCCGGGACCACGCUCUUUGAGGGGAGCGGCAGGGCGGGGGGCUUUGGAAAGCCGGGGUUGUGGCGGCUUGGCUGGGGGUGCCGCCGUACGAGAGGUCUCCCGUGCUGGGGAGGGUCUUACGUCCAGGGCAGCCAAUCAGGGUGAAGGAGUUCCAGUCACAGCCAGUGAGCAGGCAGUGGCUGGCUGAUUUAUGGGGUUGGGGCGAGCCGCGUUAUUUUUCGGGGUAGGGUAUUAUGCUUCGCUGGGAUCCGGCGCGGUUGUGAGUGGGUGAUGGUAGUCAAGUUUUAAAGGGUCCGGUGGUGCGUGCGGUCGUCCCCACCUGGACAUGGACUUUGCACUAUCCCCUCAGGCCCCGAGAAGGAGAAGGACCGCACCCCUCAGCUUCCCUCUGGGGAGCGGAGAGCUGUGUUGCCUGACGAGCUUGGCCAGGUACAAAGGUGACCCUCGGGCGACACCCACCGUCAGGCCAGACUGUCUCAUUAUGGGGUUGCACUCCUUUUUUUUUUUUUUUUUUUUUUUAAGCGGGAGGCGAGUGUCACCGACGUCUUAACUUUGGAGAGCAGAGGAUUUCCUUUGCACGAGUCUUGUGUGAGCCAAGAGGUGGAGAGAUCCGGAGGUGUCCCCCUUAAAGUUGUGUCCCGGGGAGGGCUGAUUUCAUGGCAUCACUGUCAGUAACACGAACCAGUUGCUGCGGGCAAGUAGAUGAAUUGCUAUAAAUCUUAUGUUCUGAUUACACCAUCCACCCCCAUUGCAUUAGAGACAGAAGGUGGGUGGCACUAGAGAAAUUACUUCCAAAGGUACUUUUUUGGAAUGGUGUAUAAUUAAUAACAGCCAAUGUGAGGAAGGAACGCGCGUAAAAGGACACAAUAGAAUGCUUUAGAAAGUGAUAGAAGGGAGGGAAAAACACAAUUAUGGGAGAAUAGUUAAUGUAGAUGAGAGAAAUAGGGACAGCUACUUAUUUCUUCAUUUAAAAAGUAUUAUUGAGCUCCUGCUACAGCAAGAAUUAAUGGUGAUGAGAUACUGUUUCUCAGGAGCUUUUAUUCUAGCCGAGUGUGCCUCUAAAUUCAUUUUACUCUUAUUAGCACUUCAAAGUAAGCAUUUAUUAUCUCCAUUUAAUAUCCCCAUUUUACAGUUUUGGAAUCCGAGGCUCCAGGCUUUUAAGUAAUUAGUUCAAGAUCACAUAGCUGGCAGUAAGUGGUGGAAUCAAGAUGCCAAGUACUUGGCUUUCUGACUUUUUCCAUUGAACUUCACUUUUGCUACAGGAAGGAGAAAAAUGAAAGCUUAAGUUGCUAAGACAAGCCUGCAUGAGUUAAACUUUCAUCAUGCUUUUAACUAGCAACUUCCUUUCUCUGCAUUCUUCCUGAACCCCAUCAAACCCAGGGCCUUGCACCUGUUGGAUGUGUGCUCUCCUACUGAACUGUACCACAAGCCUUCCUUUGCAUCAUUUUCAAAAGGAAAAAAUAAAAGACCAAAAAAAACCCCCACACCCAUUGUGUUUAGUUUUAGACACAUCAUUCAAAGCUAAAAAUGGAGGCUUAUUGGUCCAUGCUGUAAAUCCCAGCAUUCAGAGGCUGAAGUAAAUCAAUCUUGAAUUGGAGUCUAGUGUGGGCUGAAUAAUGUGAUCAUCUCUAAACAAGAUUAUCUUUAGGUAGACAUGGAAGAGAAGCAACUGAACAUUAUAUCCUGAAAAUUCUGGAAUUAUGAAAUCUCAUGACUGGGAUAAAUGCAGAAUAAUAUUGGAAUUCAUUAAUGUAAUAAAUUAAAAAUCUCACAGCAUUUAUCCAGUCUAUUCAAGAUAGAGUAAUUUUAGUGAGUGGUGUUAUGGAAUUAAGUUCCUUU